AGCGAACGCUGGCGGCAGGCCUAACACAUGCAAGUCGAACGAAGCCUUCGGGCUUAGUGGCGGACGGGUGAGUAACACGUGGGAACGUACCUUUUGGUUCGGAAUAACGCAGAGAAAUUUGCGCUAAUACCGAAUGAGCCCUUCGGGGGAAAGAUUUAUCGCCGAAAGAUCGGCCCGCGUUGGAUUAGGUAGUUGGUGUGGUAAAGGCGCACCAAGCCUACGAUCCAUAGCUGGUCUGAGAGGAUGAUCAGCCACACUGGGACUGAGACACGGCCCAGAGUCCUACGGGAGGCAGCAGUGGGGAAUCUUGCGCAAUGGGCGAAAGCCUGACGCAGCCAUGCCGCGGGAAUGAUGAAGGUCUUAGGAUUGUAAAAUUCUUUUACCAGGGACGAUAAUGACGGUACCUGGAGAAAAAGCCCCGGCUAACUUCGUGCCAGCAGCCGCAGUAAAAC
rnacentral:rRNA from 1 species